rnacentral:rRNA from 1 species
ACUAUGCCUAGUCGUAAACUUUAACUUACCCCUCAAUCGCCCGGGAACUACGAGCUAAGCUUAAAACCCAAAGGACUUGACGGUACCCCACAUCCCCCUAGAGGAGCCUGUCCUAUAAUCGAUAACCCCCGCUUAACCUCACCAUUUUUUGCUAAUCAGCCUGUAUACCUCCGUCGUCAGCUUACCACGUGAGCGUCAGUGAGCUUAAUGUUUUUCCAACUAUACGUCAGGUCAAGGUGCAACAAAUAAAAUGGAAAGAGAUGGGCUACACUUUCUACCAUAGAAUAAACGAAAGACUAAAUGAAACCUAGUCAGAAGGCGGAUUUAGCAGUAAGGUGAAACUAGAGCGUUCACUUAAAUACGGCACUGGGGUGUGUACACACCGCCCGUCACCCUCCUCAACUCUGCAUUAAAGUUAUUUAACACCUUCUCAGAGACUCAGAAGAGGCAAGUCGUAACACGGUAAG